AUUGAUACCGCCAUAAUGGUUAGUUUAAUUCAUAAAGCAUUUAAAAUAAUAAAUCCAACAACAUUUUGUCUGCUUGAUAUAUUAAGAAGGUUGCAUGCACAAACCAUGAGAAUAUAGAGUUUUCUAAGAAAAAAGAAAACAUUUACGUGUUUCAUUGCGAAAUUGAAAUAUUCAACCUGACAUCAUUGUCGCCAAAGAGUAGAGACCGCGCUAGGCAAACGAAGUGUAGGUCAUCCUCCAGCUAGAUGGAGUGACGACAUCCGCAAGGUGGCUGGCAGCGAUUGGGUGAGAAGAGCCUGAAGAACUAGCUCAUUGUCAUUGGAGGGAACUCCAGCAGUGGACGAACACGGUCUGAUGAUGAUGAUACUUCCUGAUUGAUACAACAAACUAUCCUUUUUCCUACUGGAUGCCUCCCUAAUAAUUGUGAUAUAAUGUGAUAUAUGUGAUAUAAUGCUUGUAAGAUAAUUUGUUUUUUUUAUGGAAUACGCCGGUAAACGAGUAU